CCGUGAUAAUGUAGCAUAAUCACUCGCCAUUUAAUUGAUGGAUAGUAUGAAUGGUUUAACGAAUAUAACACUGUCUCCGACAAAAUAUUUAUAAAAUUGGAAUAAUAGUAAAGAUACUAUUUAAAACUAUAAGACGAAAAGACCCUAUAGAGCUUAACUAUAAACUUUUAUUAUCCUUUUAAGUUUACUUAAAUUCACUAAAAGUUUGGUAGUUUAGUUGGGGCGACUGUCUUUUAAAAUAAACAAAGACAAGCAAUAUUAAUUAAAAAAAAAUUUACUGUAUAAGUAAUAUAUUUAACAGUUACUACGGUAGGCAAUAAUGACCCGUUUUUAUAAAGAAACAUAAAAAACGAUCAAUAAAUAAAAGCUACCUUAGGGAUAACAGGAUAAUUUCGUUUUAGAGUUCUUAUCGAAGACGAA
rnacentral:rRNA from 1 species